rnacentral:rRNA from 1 species
GAUGAACGCUGGCGGCGUGCCUAAUACAUGCAAGUCGAGCGAACGGACGAGAAGCUUGCUUCUCUGAUGUUAGCGGCGGACGGGUGAGUAACACGUGGUUAACCUACCUAUAAGACUGGGAUAACUUCGGGAAACCGUAGCUAAUUCCGGAUAAUAUUUUGAACCGCAUGGUUCAAAAGUGAAAGACGGUCUUGCUGUCACUUAUAGAUGUAUCCGCGCUGCAUUAGCUAGUUGGUAAGGUAACGGCUUACCAAGGCAACGAUGCAUAGCCGACCUGAGAGGGUGAUCGGCCACACUGGAACUGAGACACGGUCCAGACUCCUACGGGAGGCAGCAGUAGGGAAUCUUCCGCAAUGGGCGAAAGCCUGACGGAGCAACGCCGCGUGAGUGAUGAAGGUCUUCGGAUCGUAAAACUCUGUUAUUAGGGAAGAACAUAUGUGUAAGUAACUGUGCACACCUUGACGGUACCUAAUCAGAAAGCCACGGCUAACUACGUG